CACCAACACCGUCUGACCAGCAGAGCUCUGGAAGUGACCGCCUCGUUAUUGAUACAGAGGAGGAGGAAAUGGGGGAGCCUUCAGGCCAGCCUGAUGUCACUUACGUGGACUCUGAGUCGUCGGAGCCGCCACAGUAUAUGAUUAUUGACAGUGAUGAGGAAGGGGAUGAGGAAGGGGAGAAAAAGCCCUCUCCCCAACUUGUUCCUACACUGGAACAGGCCGCCGAGGAGGAUGAUGCAUAUGAUGAGGCGGCAUUUAGUGGUAAGAAUUAUCACUGACAUUGAUUUGAUUCCACCAGAGUAGCACUUUUCAUCAGAUUUUUCUGGAAAAUGCGUAGAAAUCGGAUAAAAAUUGCACAAAUCGGAAUAGUGG